CCGCGUGAGUGACGAAGGCCCUAGGGUCGUAAAGCUCUUUCGCCUGUGAUGAUAAUGACAGUAGCAGGUAAAGAAACCCCGGCUAACUCCGUGCCAGCAGCCGCGGUAAUACGGAGGGGGUUAGCGUUGUUCGGAAUUACUGGGCGUAAAGCGCACGUAGGCGGAUCAGAAAGUUGGGGGUGAAAUCCCGGGGCUCAACCCCGGAACUGCCUCCAAAACUUCUGGUCUGGAGUUCGAGAGAGGUGAGUGGAAUUCCGAGUGUAGAGGUGAAAUUCGUAGAUAUUCGGAGGAACACCAGUGGCGAAGGCGGCUCACUGGCUCGAUACUGACGCUGAGGUGCGAAAGUGUGGGGAGCAAACAGGAUUAGAUACCCUGGUAGUCCACACCGUAAACGAUGAAUGCCAGUCGUCGGCGCGCAUGCGUGUCGGUGACACACCUAACGGAUUAAGCAUUCCGCCUGGGGAGUACGGUCGCAAGAUUAAAAC
rnacentral:rRNA from 1 species